GGAGACUGUAUGUGUGAAUAGGCUCCUUUAAUGCAGGAGUCAGCCAGGUCUGCAGAGUAAUUAUUCGAUUUGGCAGUGUGUUGCUGGCGGUGCAGAGUAUUUCCUGGACGGUGUGAUAAGUUGUGAAAGGAGCUGGCUGCAGGGAGCGUCAGGCUGAACGUGUUGGACAGGAACAAUGUGCUGCUCUGGCUCUGACUCCCCCCCUCUCUCUCUAUACAUGUCUGACCUCUCCUCUUCCCUGCGUGUUGUUUCUUCUGUUGUCUCUGUAUUUUUGGGAUGUGUUGAGUCUCGGGGGUGUGCAGUGUUCGGUCUGGAUGUUUAAACCUGCAGAGAGAAUGAAGUGAUGAAGACACAAACAUUCACUGUAGGCCUAAAAGGACAAAGGCAUCCUCACCACAUACUGCAGCUUACUUUGAUCUGACUGUUUCCUGUAUGUGUAGAGAACUGAAGUUGUGUGUUUGUGUCAAUGUGAGUUUGAUAAAUGCAGAGACAUUUAAACUUCAGGAAGACGUUUCAGUGUUCUUUUAACGAUGACGCUGUGUGACAGCUAGUCCGACUAAAAUGACCCAGAAAGGUAUUAAAUGGAAAAGUGAGGUCUUACUGAAACCAUGAAUGUAUGUUUGUGCCUGUUUGUUUAGAAAACAUAAAAAAUCACUCGAGUGUUUGAAAUAUUCAGGAGGAAGGUUCGGCUUAUAUCCCUUUUGUUAGGAGAAAAUGUUCAUGAUGCUACAAACUGUAGAAAACCGGAAGAGACAGGAAAAAAAGAUUGGGUUCCAAGAUCGUCUUAAAGCACCAAUCAGUGAGAUGUGUAGUGAGUGAAAUGAUAAAGUGACCUCACUAUAUGAUCAGACAUUAAGGAAACAUGCUAUGUUGAAGUGCUGGCUUCUCUGACAACAAUGCAGCAGCCAGUAUGUCCUCCUUCUAACUUUAGAUUCUGCUCCUGAAUGCUCUGGAUUUGUUUGGACCAGAGAAGGUAGGCGGUUUUAAGGCGACCCCCACACGGCCGUUUUGGACGCCCCUGUGUUUGUCAGAUAUGAGAGCAGUUAUCAGGUCAAACCAACAGGUGUUGCAGUGAUGGAAGCGGGCAAGAGAAGUGGUUCAGAUAGAAGUGAUUGUACCCGACCUAAAAAGCCUCUGCAUGUUUCUAAUAAGCUCCACGAGCAGAAACGUGCUCAAACUAGGAUCAAUGUUGGAGAUGCUUUUUGAAAAAUGGAGAGAGGUUAGAACGCACACACUGAUGGUAGAUGCUGCUGUGUAAAGAGUUCAUUCACACUCAUUCACAUGCCGCAGACGAAGCAGCAGGCGGUUAAGUGUCUUGCCAGAGAACAUAUCGGACAUGUGGCUGCAGCAGCUGGGGCCCUGAUCUUCCAGUUGGGAGAUGACCGACUCUACCACUGAGCCACAGCCGCCCCCAAAUACAUCCCACCAUCGCCGUGUUCACUAACCAAGAACCCAAGCUGGAGCUGCUCAGGGCUACGUCGACUAGAAGUCUUACCUGGCUGUCUCCACCAGCGAGCAGCUUCUCCGUGUUUCCGUCUCAUCACGUCUGGAUUAGUGUUUCAAACUCUCACUUUUCCCAGGAUGCUGCAGAAUAUUGGUUUUGCCACUUUUUGAAAUUGUUUUCCUCGGGUUAUAAAAUAAAAUAAAAAACGCUUUGACACUGACAA